CCGAGGCCCACGACGAGCGGGGCCUCACGGGAGCUGGAUGCUCGGAGCAGCAAGGCGGGCCUGGGGGCCCCUUCCGGUCCCGGGGCUGACGCCUGGCGGCGUCUCCGGGAACCCGCGCCCUUUCAAGCGCCGCUGGCUCCUGUUUCACAGAUGGAGACCCUGAAGCCCCAACAAGCAGCCUCCCCAGCACCUCCCAGUGACUGAAAAAGCUGGCACUGGGCGCCCGUCUCACUCUCCACCCAGCUCCCAGGCUGCCCCACGGGACCACCUUUGGGGAGAGACGAGACCUGAACAAACGCUGGGGCCGGAUCCCCAGGGUGGGUCAGAACAGCCGUUGCCCUGAAAGCUGGCCCGGACAGAUGCGUGCGGGGCGUGCCACCGGAGCUCCCUCCAGCUUGCGUCUGGGGCCACCAUGUCCCUUCCUCAGGGCACUGGAUCCAUCUCUUCAAGCUCAGUGGUCCAGGCCAUGGUGGCAGAAUCACCCCCCAGGGUGUGACGCCUCGUCCCUGUCAAUUCCACACAGCUGCACCCGGAAGAGCUGUGGCCGGGCGCCGCUCUGACCUGUGUGCGGUCCCCUGAAUGGGUCUCGGGUGUCUUCAGAAUGGUGAGGCCGCCUCAUUUCCUCACCACACAACCCUCCUGAGAACGUUGCCUGCAAAUGGGCGGAAUUCCUAAUUUCUACCAUUCGGUUAAACGAGGGAUCCUUAAACCCCAAAGCUGGGAAAGCUGUCCGUUAAUUUAGUGUGCGUGGGCCGUCUCAGAACAGCAGGGUUCCCAGGAGUCCAGCGGGACAGGGGAGGGGAUGAGUGGCCGUGUCCCCCUGGCAGAGAAGGCCUUGUCUGAAGGCUACGCCCGCCUCCGGUACAGGGACACCUCCUUGCUCAUCUGGCAGCAGCAACAGCAGAAGUUGGAGUCGGUGCCACCUGGGACGUACCUGAGCAGGAGCCGAAGCAUGUGGUACUCACAGUAUGGAAAUGAGGCCAUCUUGGUCCGAGACAAAAACAAGCUCGAGGUCUCUAGAGACACAGGGCAGUCCAAGUUUUGCACAAUUAUGUGAUUCCGAUGUGAGCACCUGAACCCAGGACCACACUUUGAGGAAAACAGACCUGAGUUUCAUUCAGUUGUCUUGUUGAUUUCCAAUCCUUGCUGGAAGAUUUUGAAUAAUAAACGUGAAGAUCGAACUGUGGUGUAAGAACCCAAGAAGCGCAGAAUUGGCCCCCGAGCCCCUCAGCACAGCCGCGGUGUGACUGGUGCACAGGACACUUCCCCUCUAGAGUCCCCUCCGUGGUCAGCUGUUGUGACAUUUGAAUUCUCCAGGUGCUGCUAGGGACAGCAUAGGCCUGGGCACUGCUAGAUGCUUGGUUUAAACCAGGCCAAGAGUAACCCUCCCAUCCCCAUUACAAACCACCUUUUCAAGUUUUUUAGGUUUUAGUUUUUUGUUUUUAGCAUAAAUGGCGGAGUAGCAGCAGCAUCUCACCAGGAGCUUUGUCGCAUUACAUUUUGUAUUUUGCUUUUUUGAGACGGGGUCUCACUCUGUUACCCAGGCUGGAAUACAGUGGCACGAUCACAGCUCACUGUAGGCUCGAUCUCCUGGGCUCAGGUGAUCCUCCCAAACUCAGCCUCCCAGGUAGCUGUGGCUCCAGGCGAACUACUGUGUAUAGAGACAGGGUUUCCCUAUGUUGCCCAGGCUGGUCUGGUCUUAUAGUCCUGGGCUCAAGCCUCCCAGAGUGCUGGGAUUACAGGCAUGGGUCACCGCACCAAGCCCGCAUUUAUAUUUUGAGUUACCAAAAUGAUCGUCAUGUGUGAAGCAUCAUGGUAGCUUCCAAGCAUUUGCGGCCCACUGGCCAGUGCAUCCAAAACACAUUCAGGAAACCCGAGAGUUGUAAGUUGCACAUGUGUGGCCUACAGUGACUUCCAUGUAGUAACAGGGCUGAGCAAGGCAGGCUCUCCACCAGACUUAAAGCAUUCAACCACUCUGCCCCCAGGCCGACACUGACAUGUGUUCACUGUCGCUGCCACAGCUGGCCACCUGUGUUCAGUCUCCACGAAGGAUUCACCUUCUGCUCUCACUGACAUUUCCUUGGCUACACAAAUGUGCAGGUGUCUCUUGUCAAAGCUAAUUUUUCUUUUCUAAAUAAACAUCCUUUAAUACACUCCUCCCCUUCCUCACACUUAUUUUUAUCCUUGUUCGUAAUAUCCUACUUGGCUUCCCAUUUUUUAUAGCAGUAAUAUCUAAUUGAUUGCUAAAGACUGCAGUACACAAAGGCAUAAAGCAAAGCACAAGUGCUCUCCGUGGGGAGAACCCGGCCGGCAGCUGGGGAUGCGUCCCAGGGCUCCUCAGCGUGCACACACAGUCACGUGAUUCUGACGGCCUCAUCCUGCACCACGCCUCUUGUAUCCGCCAUUUUCUUUCUUGCUCAACUGUACAGACUGGGCAUUCACUUAAUGCUUUUCUUCUUUUUUUAAGAGAGUCUCACUCUGUUGCCCAGGCUGGAGUGCAAUGGCACAAUCUCAGCUCACUGCAACCUCUGCCUCUUGGGUUCAGGCGAUUCUCCUGCCUCAGCCUCCUGAGUAGCUGGAAUUACAGGUGCCUGCCACCACACCUGGCUAAUUUUUGUAUUUUUAAUAGAGACAGGGUUUCAGCAUGUUGGCCAGGCUGAUCUCAAACUCCCAAUCUCAGGUGAUCUGCCCACCUCGGCCUCCCAAAGUACUGGGAUUACAGGCGUGUGCCACCGCACCCGGCCCACUUCAUGCUUUUAACCUCUGACUCGCACCUCUCCCGUGAGCCCACAGACGGGCACAGUGACAGCAUCCGGGUUGUCAUCUGUGCAAACAGCAUGUUCUGAAUGUGCCUGUACUCUGUUCGUGCUUCUCUUUGCAGCUGUGCAAGUUCAUUCGCAAACGUCCUAGAAGUGGAACUGCUGGGUCAAAGUGCAUUCCCCAAAUGUCCUGCCAGAGGCCUGGUCGGCAGCAGCCUCCUGCACAGCCCGAGUCCCUUCUGCGAGAGUCCGGGCUUGUUUGCAGCCUGCAGCUGGGAGAUUUGAAGUCAGACUUCCAGGAUUGCCGCAUGGAGCUGCAGAGGGAGUGAGCAUGGGGCUGGAGGACCUGCCCCGCCGGCUGACACUCCCGCAGCAAGGCGGGCCCGCCAAGGAAGCACUCCACAUCCGCUAGGUAGGGUUUGUCUACAUCUUUUUAGUUCUUCAGUUUAAGUCCUGCCUGGGAAGAAAGCAAACUCCAGAGGCAAAUCUGGAAUGCCUGUGUGCCACCUUCUCACCGCACCACAGACUCCCGAGGACGGGUUGUGGCGGGGUUGGCCCCAAGCAUGGGAGGCAGCGCAGACAUGCAGAAUGGGGUCUGAGGUCACGUUGCAACGCUGGCAGGAUGUGUGCUCAAGGGCCAGUCUCUGCAGGGGUCAGGGCGUGUGGGCCACGCACAAGGAGCUGGCACUAAGCCGCUUAGGCUGCAGGAAGACACCAUCUGCCUGGGGCGGACAAGGCCCCAUGUCCGUCCUCAAGGAGGCUGGUCUGGAUGAGAAGGGUCACAGUCUGGCCAGGAGUGACACCGUGCCCCCUGACCCCAUCUGGGGUCGGGCUGGACAGGUCCUCAGGCCUAGACGUGGGCCCAGCCAGAACCUUCUCCCCUGGCAUGUCUCUUCCAGGCCUAGUUCCAGAGCUGUCAUUCUUCGGUGAGCCACGCUGCACACCAGCCUCUGCAGUCUGGCAGUUAAACCUCACUAUGAAAAUCUGCUUUUGGGAUUUUAUUUGCAUUUCCAUUAGACUGAGCGCAUCACAAGCCACUUCAGGAUAGACUGAGGUGCAGAGGGAGGGGACAAGCGGCCAGGUCGACUAGAAGAGCACAGAACCUGGCUGUCUCAAAGAGGGCAGCUUGUUCCAGGGAACCAAUGAACUGUCAGUAAAGGGGAUUGUGGCUUCCUAGUGAGGCAAGAAAUGAUGCUCCCUUCAUCCUGCCAGGGCUCAGGACAAGAGCUACUUAAUGGUUUGGUUAUUAUUAUUUUUUAAGAGAUGUUGUCCAGGCUGGAGUGCAGUGAUGCAAUCAUGGCUUACUGCAGCCUCAAACUCCUGGCCUCAGGCCAUCCUCCUGCCUCGGCGCCUCCCAAAGUGCUGUGAUCACAGGCACGAGCCACUGCAUCCUGCCUUUAAAUGGUUUUUUGGGGCCCCUUUUGGAUGCUCUGGGUGUUUUUGCCAAGAGUUACAGGAUGUCAAGUGUGGGGAGCUCAGCACCCUUGCUGUGGACCAGUGAAGGCUGUUCCAGACCAGGUGCUUCCAGACAUUUCCAGGCUCCAGGAGAGAGGCUGGGAGCCCCCACAAAAA
rnacentral:lncRNA from 1 species